ACGAACGCUGGCGGCGUGCCUAAUACAUGCCAGUAGAACGCUGAAGGAGGAGCUUGCUCUUCUGGAUGAGUUGCGAACGGGUGAGUAACGCGUAGGUAACCUGCCUGGUAGCGGGGGAUAACUAUUGGAAACGAUAGCUAAUACCGCAUAACAGUAGAUGUUGCAUGACAUUUACUUAAAAGGUGCAAUUGCAUCACUACCAGAUGGACCUGCGUUGUAUUAGCUAGUUGGUGGGGUAACGGCUCACCAAGGCGACGAUACAUAGCCGACCUGAGAGGGUGAUCGGCCACACUGGGACUGAGACACGGCCCAGACUCCUACGGGAGGCAGCAGUAGGGAAUCUUCGGCAAUGGACGGAAGUCUGACCGAGCAACGCCGCGUGAGUGAAGAAGGUUUUCGGAUCGUAAAGCUCUGUUGUAAGAGAAGAACGAGUGUGAGAGUGGAAAGUUCACACUGUGACGGUAUCUUACCAGAAAGGGACGGCUAACUACGUG
rnacentral:rRNA from 1 species